UACGUAGGGUGCAAGCGUUGUCCGGAUUUAUUGGGCGUAAAGAGCUCGUAGGCGGCUUGGCAAGUCGGGUGUGAAAACUUCAGGCUCAACCUGGAGAUGCCACUCGAUACUGCUAUGGCUUGAGUCUGGUAGGGGAGCACGGAAUUCCUGGUGUAGCGGUGAAAUGCGCAGAUAUCUGGAGGAACAUCAGUGGCGAAGGCGACACCCUGGACUCAUACUGACACUGAGGUGCGAAAGCGUGGGGAGCAAACAGG
rnacentral:rRNA from 1 species